rnacentral:rRNA from 1 species
GAUGAACGCUGGCGGCGUGCCUAAUACAUGCAAGUCGAGCGAACAGACGAGGAGCUUGCUCCUCUGACGUUAGCGGCGGACGGGGGAGUAACACGUGGAUAACCUACCUAUAAGACUGGGAUAACUUCGGGAAACCGGAGCUAAUACCGGAUAAUAUAUUGAACCGCAUGGUUCAAUAGUGAAAGACGGUUUUGCUGUCACUUAUAGAUGGAUCCGCGCCGCAUUAGCUAGUUGGUAAGGUAACGGCUUACCAAGGCAACGAUGCGUAGCCGACCUGAGAGGGUGAUCGGCCACACUGGAACUGAGACACGGUCCAGACUCCUACGGGAGGCAGCAGUAGGGAAUCUUCCGCAAUGGGCGAAAGCCUGAUGGAGCAACGCCGCGUGAGUGAUGAAGGUCUUCGGAUCGUAAAACUCUGUUAUUAGGGAAGAACAAAUGUGUAAGUAACUAUGCACGUCUUGACGGUACCUAAUCAGAAAGCCACGGCUAACUACGU